UUGACCUCAAAUCGAGUAGGACUACCCGCUGAACUUAAGCAUAUCAAUAAGCGGAGGAAAAGAAACUAACAAGGAUUCCCCUAGUAACGGCGAGUGAAGAGGGAAGAGCUCAAAUUUUGAAUCUGGCGUCUUUGGCGUCCGAAUUGUAAUCUAGAGAAGUGUUUUCCGUGACGGACCGUGCAUAAGUCUCCUGGAAUGGAGCGUCAUGGAGGGUGAGAAUCCCGUAUAUGGCACGGACUCCCGUUGCUCUGUGAUACACUCUCGACGAGUCGAGUUGUUUGGGAAUGCAGCUCUAAACGGGUGGUAAAUGCCAUCUAAAGCUAAAUAUUGGCGAGAGACCGAUAGCGAACAAGUACCGUGAGGGAAAGAUGAAAAGCACUU
rnacentral:rRNA from 1 species